rnacentral:lncRNA from 1 species
AUGUAUUCAAAAUCUCUGUAUAAAAAUAUUUUCGCAACCCAUACGCCAGUGGUGUCUUUAAUGGUGUGCGGGGAGGACCUUCGCACAAGGCCCGUGAUUUCGAGGGGCACAUGAUUUGUAAAAAAAAAUCCAAUAUAUGUAUAUGUUAAGAUUUUUUUAAUAGUAAACACAUAACAAUUCUAAUAUAUGUCCAUUUACAAAUCGUUUAUCAUGGUUUAGAAUUUAGCCCACUUGGCAGACCGAUAAUAUUUUGAUUUAAAAAAAUGAUAAAACAUUAUGGUGGAUGAAUAGUCAAAGGGGCCUAUUACCCAUAAUUUUUUUGGAUCACACCAAUUGUUUAACUCAACAACAUAUUUCACCUCAUCAUCUUAAAUAAAUAACUAUAUAUGAACUCAAACUUUAUCAUAAUCACAAAAUUAUAAAACUAAGCUAUUAAAUAAGCAUCAUAUGUAAAAGAACUUGUAGAAUUUCUAGUUGUUAUACUAAACUACAUUUUUAAGUUAUGAUAAGCCAUACCUUUGGAAUCAUUUUAAUAUAAAAAGGAGCUAGUGGAAUGUUUUCAAUAUGCAAAUUUGAAUGACAUUAGUAUAUAUUAGGAUGUUGAAAGCAAUUGCAUUUAUAUUUUCUAUAUUCCCGUUAACUAUGAACAUGGGUGGUUAACUGCGUUGUGUCUAGGAUGCCUUUAAGGAGUAACAUAUAUACUUCAUAUGUAUUCAUUCUCAAUCUACAUCAACAAAACACAAAUUACACUUCAUAUUCAUCUAAAAAUAAUAACAGACUACCAUGAAUAAUAUAUAAAUACAAAAGUAACACAUUACAUAAAUUACUUAUUGACAAAGUGAAAAUAUAGUUAAAAUGCAUUGAAUUAUAAAACAUUAUAUCUUUUACUUUUAUUAAGAAUUAAGGUGUCUUCAGAAACAGUUACUCUUUCUUAGAGUCAUCUAGAAUUUCUUGCUAUGGCCAUCAUUAUAGAUCUGCAAAUUAAAAGACAAACAUUAAAUAACAUCACAAGGUUACAAAGCUCCCAGUGAAAGAUAUGU